UUCAAACAGGAAUGGGGUUAAAAUUUCUGAACCAGGACAUGGCGGUUAACAACAUUAUUAGAAAGUCUAAAGAUAUUGGUGGGAGCUUCAGGAAAAGUUAUCUUUUAUGUUUAAAACCCUUCCCACCCUUGAAUCGGCUCAGCUGGAGGUAGGGUCCAGCGGCUGAAGAGUACCGCACAUCAUGUGGUGUCUGGUGUGCUCUCGGUAGCCCUUGAAAAUCUGGAGGACGGAAUGUUAUCCACGCCCGAUCGUAUGGGACAUAGUAGGCAAGGGAAAUCGGAAAAAUAGAUUCAUAACUUUGGGAAAAGGAUUGGCUCUGAGGGCUAGGCAAAACCGCCGGCUAUCAGUGGACCACUCGAGCUGCUCCCAAGGCGAGAGCAGGAUCCGUGGACCAGCUGGGGGACAGACUGGGAACGGUUCCUUCGGUGGCCUUCCCUACAUGUAGAUCAACAAACUCAGAACUGGUACGGAUAAGGGAAUUCGACUAUUUAAUCAAAACAAAGAAUUUCGAUGGUCCCAACGGAUGUUCAUGCAAUUUGAUUUUCGCCUAGUGCUCUAAAUGUCAAAGUGAAUAAAUUUAACAAAGCGCGGGUAAACGGCAGGAGUAACUAUGACUCUCUUAAUAUAGCCAAAUGCCUCAUCAUCUAAUUAGUGAUGCGCAUGAGUGGAUUAAUGAGAUUUCCAUUGUCCUUGUCUACUAUCCAACGAAACAACAACCAAGGGAAUUGGCUUGGCAGAAUCAGCAGGGAAAAAAGACCCUGUUGAGCUUGACUCUAGUCCUACUUUUUGAAAUGACUUGAGAGGUGUAGUAUAAGUGGGACCCAAAAGGCAAAAGUGAAAUACCACUACUUUUAAUGUUAUUUUACUUAUUUCGUGAAUUAGAAGAGGGGCACUACUCAUCUUUUUGGACCCAAGGCUCGCUCUGUAGGCUAAUUCGAGCAGAAUACAUUGUCAGUUAGGGAGUUUGGCUAGGGAAGCACAUCUAUUAAAAGAUAACGCAGGUGUCCUAAGAUGAACUCAAUGAGAACAGAAAUCUUGUGUGGAAAAGAAGGGUAAAAGCUUGUUUUAUUCUAAUUUCCAGUACGAAUACAAACCAUGAAAGCGUGGACUAACUAUUAUUUAGAUCUUUGGAAUUCGAAGAUAGAGGUGUCAGAAAAGUUACCACAGGGAUAACUAGCUUGUGGUAGCCAAGAGUUCAUAGCGACGUUGCUUUUUUAUACUUCUAUGUCGGGUCUUCCUAUCAUUGUAAAGCUGAAUUCACCAAGUAUUGGAUUUUUCACCCACCAAUAGGGAACGUGAGUUUGGUUUAGACCAUCGUGAGAUAGUUUAGUUUUACCGUACUGAUAACAGUGCCGCAGUAUUAAUUCAACCAAGUAUGAGAGGAACCAUUGAUUCACAUAAUUGGUUAUUGCGCUUGGUUUAAAAGCCAGUGGUGUGAAGCUACUGUCUGUUGGAUUAUAAAUGAAUGCCUAUAAGUAAGUUUCCAGGCUAUAAUUGAUGCAUGCGCCGGUGGUCUGCUUGGCAACCCGCAGUAGGGGCCACGGCCCCCAAGAGCAUCGUUGGCUAAGCCAAAACUGCAGAAGGUUUGUGGUGGCCGCCUUGAAGUACAAUCUCCAUCAAG
rnacentral:rRNA from 1 species